GAAAGAAAGAGAAAGAAGUCUUCCAUGGAGGGAAGAGUGAAGAAAGAAAAAAGAUAAUGAAGAAAUCAAGAUGGGAGCAAAUGAAGAGGGAAGCUCUCUUGAGAAGAAGAAUUAAAGCUUCAAAGAGAAGAUUGUUAAGGUUGUUCUUAUGCCAAAAGAAGAAAAGGGAAUGUGUUGCAAGCUUGUGGUUGAAGCUCAUGGUGUAUCAUUUAUUUUGUUGUAAAGUUAAGGCUUAAAGAAACCUAGGCAUGUGAUUAUUUAUUUGUGACCUUAUGGCUUAGGGAAGCCUAUUUGUUGUAUUUAAUCAUGUGUGGUGUUUAUUUAUGGAUGUUGUUAUGUGAG